rnacentral:tRNA from 1 species
UUUAAUGAGGUGUUUAUGCAUUUUAUGUUUUGGACAUAAAGGUGAUUAGAAAUCCGUUAAAU